rnacentral:rRNA from 1 species
UACGGAGGGUGCAAGCGUUAUCCGGAUUCACUGGGUUUAAAGGGUGCGUAGGUGGGCUUGUAAGUCAGUGGUGAAAUCCCCGAGCUUAACUUGGGAACUGCCAUUGAUACUAUAAGUCUUGAAUAUUGUGGAGGUCAGCGGAAUAUGUCAUGUAGCGGUGAAAUGCUUAGAUAUGACAUAGAACACCAAUUGCGAAGGCAGCUGGCUACGCAUAUAUUGACACUGAGGCACGAAAGCGUGGGGAUCAAACAGG